UAACGACUGUGUUCAGCCACUCUCAGACUGUGGUUGUCUGCGGGAACUGUCAGGGUGUGCUAUGCCAGCCGACUGGUGGCAAGGCCAGGCUUACCGAGGGAUGCUCCUUCCGGCGGAAGGCGGAUUGAGCUCUGUACUCUUUGCACUCGCUCUCCAAUCUUUCUGCGGAUGAUAAGGAUGAUAGAGGCUUACUUAUGACAUCUAUGGAGUCUUUUUGUCGAGUAGGAUAAGUUUGCUUUUGUG
rnacentral:misc_RNA from 1 species